GGCAAUCGGAUGUUGGUUUGGGUC
rnacentral:siRNA from 1 species